AUGAGAGCAGCACUUGAGGAAGCCUUAUCGGCUCAUCAAAUUGACUUUGUUAAAACCAAUGAUGCUUUGCAACCUGCUCUUGAGAACAAGGAUGCCCUUAAUGUUAGGGUUGAAAAUCUUCUAGUUGAUCACACGAGACUUAGUGAGGAACAUGAGUUCCUUGUGACUAGUUCCAAGGUUGUCAAAGGUGACCUUAUUUCCCUCACCGAGUCUUAUGCUCAACUUAAAUCUACAACCAUUAAGGCCCUUACUUCCGUACCUCAUAUGGAGUUAAGUGAUGAAUCUUGUACAACUAACUUUGUUCAUGAUUGCAUCUCUCUCCAAGAGGAGAAUAGGAAGUUAAAAGCCCAAGUUGAGAAGGGGCUUGUGUCAUUCAUUCAAGGGGAGAAAAACCUCAAUGACCACUUGGUCAACCAAAAGGAUUUUUUUUGCUGA
rnacentral:rRNA from 1 species